AAGGGUAUAGCUCAAAGUGGUAGAGCACAUGCUUAGUAUGCAUGAACGAGGCCCUAGGUUCAAUUCCCAGUACCUCCU
rnacentral:tRNA from 1 species